AGCGAACGCUGGCGGCAGGCCUAACACAUGCAAGUCGAACGAACCUUUCGGGGUUAGUGGCGGACGGGUGAGUAACACGUGGGAACGUGCCUUUAGGUUCGGAAUAACUCAGGGAAACUUGUGCUAAUACCGAAUGUGCCCUUCGGGGGAAAGAUUAAUCGCCUUUAGAGCGGCCCGCGUCUGAUUAGCUAGUUGGUUGAGGUAAUGGCUCACCAAGGCGACGAUCAGUAGCUGGUCUGAGAGGAUGAUCAGCCACAUUGGGACUGAGACACGGCCCAAACCCCUACGGGGGGCAGCAGUGGGGAAUCUUGCGAAAUGGGCGAAAGCCUGACGCAGCCAUGCCGGGUGAAUGAUGAAGGUUUUAGGAUUGUAAAAUUCUUUCCCCGGGGACGAUAAUGACGGUACCCGGGGAAGAAACCCCGGCUAACUUCGU
rnacentral:rRNA from 1 species